GCCGCAAUCACGGUAAAUCCAAAAUAACCGAAAAUACGACCGUGACCGUGAUUUGAAACCCUGAUUCCAUCUGCCGAACGACAACCAGAUGAUCCUUUGUAUCGUGAACUAUGGCAUGCCUGUGCUGGACCUCUUGUCACGCUUCCUCGCGUAGGGGAGCGUGUUUAUUAUUUCCCACAAGGUCACAUGGAACAACUUGAGGCAUCAAUGCAUCAGGGGUCACAACACCAAAUACCUUCAUUCAAUCUACCAUCUAAAAUACUUUGCAAAGUGGCUUCUGUUC